GUUCUGCAGAUGUAGAUGCCACUGGUUCUUCAUGUUCUGCAGAUGUAGAUGCCACUGGUUUUUUACGUUCUGCAGAUGUAGAUGCCACUGGUUCUUCACGUUCUGUAGAUGCCACUGGUUCUUCACGUUCUGCAGAUGUAGAUGCCACUGGUUCUUCACGUUCUGUAGAUGCCACUGGUUCUUCACGUUCUGUAGAUGUAGAUGCCACUGGUUCUUCACGUUCUGCAGAUGUAGAUGCCACUGGUUCUUCACGUUCUGCAGAUGUAGAUGCCACUGGUUCUUCACGUUCUGUAGAUGUAGAUGCCACUGGUUCUUCAUGUUCUGCAGAUGUAGAUGCCACUGGUUCUUCACGUUCUGUAGAUGUAGAUGCCACUGGUUCUUCAUGUUCUGCAGAUGUAGAUGCCACUGGUUCUUCACGU